ACCGCCCAUCGCUACUAUUGAUUGGAUGGUUUAGUGAGGUUGUUGGAGUGACUUAGCCGCUCGACUGAUACUGAGAAGAUGACCUAAUUCGACUGUUUAGAUGAAGUAAAAGUCGUAACAAGGUUUCCGUAGACAAAUUAACAAAGA
rnacentral:ncRNA from 1 species